CCUACGGGCGGCAGCAGUGGGGAAUAUUGGACAAUGGGGGGAACCCUGAUCCAGCGACGCCGCGUGAGUGAAGAAGUAUUUCGGUAUGUAAAGCUCUAUCAGCAGGGAAGAAAGAAAUGACGUUACCUGACUAAGAAGCCCCGGCUAACUACGGGCCAGCAGCCGCUUUAAUACGUAGGAGGCAAGCGUUAGCCGGAGUUACUGGGUGUAAAGGGAGCGUAGACGGCGAUGCAAGUCUGAAGUGAAAGGCGGGGGGCCAACCUCCGGACUGCUUUUGAAACUGUAUGGCUGGAGUGCAGUAGAGGUAAGUGGAAUUCCGAGUGUAGCGGUGAAAUGCGUAGAGAGUAGGAGGAACACCAGUGGCGAAGGCGGCUUACUGGACAGAAACUGACGUUGAGGCUCGAAAGCGUGGGGAGCAAACAGGAUUAGAUACCCCUGUAGUC
rnacentral:rRNA from 1 species